AAUCUAAAUGUCAUCAAUGAAUAGCUACGCUCCAGAAACACCUCCAGGAAACAAAAGCAAAAGAUGACAAAAUGCAGAUAAGAAGAAAUCAGGGACAAGAUUUGGAAGUGAAGGAAAAUGGAAAAAGCAAUGAAAGAGCAAAAUAUAAUUAAGAAAAAUGGAAGGAAGGGCACAUCAGAGGAAAACUUUGAAAAGGAAGGAACCAAGGGACAAGCGAUGUCGAGAGGUUCUCUAAAAGAUCCUUGUGAAAAUCUUUAUUUCCAGUCACAAAUCAAUUGAUGAGCCUUAAAAUUUACGUGCAAAACAUAUAAGCAGAAUUCUAGUUAGUUAAUAUCUAUCAAGAAUAAAGGUCAACGUCUGCCACAGCCAUCACCUUUUAUCUGAUAAGGUAAAGUUUUAUUAGUGAAGAUACCAAGAUGGUACAAUUACACCAGACCAAAAACUUCCAUAAUAAUUUCAACAACAAAUCAACUAUCUCCUCUAAGAAAUCUAUGUAUUGUUC
rnacentral:lncRNA from 1 species